rnacentral:rRNA from 1 species
AGAGUUUGAUCAUGGCUCAGAUUGAACGCUGGCGGUAGGCUUAACACAUGCAAGUCGUGCGAGAAAGUACCUUCGGGUGCGAGUAGAGCGGCGGACGGGUGAGUAACGCGUAGGAAUCUACCUAGUAGAAGGGGAUAGCCCGGGGAAACUCGGAUUAAUACCGUAUACCUCCUUAGGGAGAAAGAGGGCUUAGCUUUGAUGCUCUCGCUAUUAGAUGAGCCUGCGUAAGAUUAGCUUGUUGGUGAGGUAAUGGCUCACCAAGGCGACGAUCUUUAGCUGGUCUGAGAGGACGAUCAGCCACAUUGGGACUGAGACACGGCCCAGACUCCUACGGGAGGCAGCAGUGGGGAAUAUUGGACAAUGGGCGCAAGCCUGAUCCAGCCAUACCGCGUGUGUGAAGAAGGCUUUCGGGUUGUAAAGCACUUUAAGUAAGGAGGAAAAGAUUGUAGUUAAUACCUGCAAUCCGUGACGUUACUUACAGAAUAAGGACCGGCUAAUUCCGUGCCAGCAGCCGCGGUAAUACGGAAGGUCCAAGCGUUAAUCGGAAUUACUGGGCGUAAAGCGCGCGUAGGUGGUUUUUUAAGUUGGAUGUGAAAGCCCUGGGCUCAACCUAGGAACUGCAUCCAAAACUAGAUGACUAGAGUACGA